GUUAAAUGUUCUUCGUGAACAUAGCGAACUGCUCAGUAACACGUGGAUAACCUACCCUUAGGACCGGAAUAACCCCGGGAAACUGGGGAUAAUACCGGAUAAGCCAUAGACGCUGGAAUGCCCUAUGGUUCAAAGCUCCGGCGCCUAAGGAUGGAUCUGCGGUCUAUCAGGUUGUAGUGGGUGUAACGUACCUACUAGCCGACGACGGAUACGGGUUGUGAGAGCAAGAGCCCGGAGAUGGAUUCUGAGACACGAAUCCAGGCCCUACGGGGUGCAGCAGGCGCGAACACUUUACAAUGCGGGAAACCGCGAUAAGGGAACCCCGAGUGCCAGCAUCAAAUGUUGGCUGUCCAGAUGAUUAAAAAUCAUUUGUUAGCAAGGGCCGGGCAAGACCGGUGCCAGCCGCCGCGGUAACACCGGCGGCCCGAGUGGUAGCCGUUUUUAUUGGGUCUAAAGGGUCCGUAGCCGGCCUGAUAAGUCCUUUGGGAAAUCUGGCAGCUUAACUGUCAGGCUUCUAAGGGAUACUGUCUGGCUUGGGACCGGAAGAGGUAAGGGGUACUCCAGGGGUAGGAGUGAAAUCUUGUAAUCCCUGGGGGACCA
rnacentral:rRNA from 1 species